UAUUAACUCUGGCGGCGUGCCUAAUACAUGCAAGUCGAGCGAACGGACGAGAAGCUUGCUUCUCUGAUGUUAGCGGCGGACGGGUGAGUAACACGUGGAUAACCUACCUAUAAGACUGGGAUAACUUCGGGAAACCGGAGCUAAUACCGGAUGAUAUUUUGAACCGCAUGGUUCAAAAGUGAAAGACGGUCUUGCUGUCACUUAUAGAUGGAUCCGCGCUGCAUUAGCUAGUUGGUAAGGUAACGGCUUACCAAGGCAACGAUGCAUAGCCGACCUGAGAGGGUGAUAGGCCACACUGGAACUGAGACACGGUCAAGACUCCUACGGGAGGCAGCAGUAGGGAAUCUUCCGCAAUGGGCGAAAGCCUGACGGAGCAACGCCGCGUGAGUGAUGAAGGUCUUCGGAUCGUAAAACUCUGUUAUUAGGGAAGAACAUAUGUGUAAGUAACUGUGCACAUCUUGACGGUACCUAAUCAGAAAGCCACGGCUAACUACGUG
rnacentral:rRNA from 1 species